rnacentral:tRNA from 1 species
ACUUGAAUCCUCGCCAAGAGGCGCGGAUUGAAAAUCCGCGUGUCGGUGGUUCAAAUCCGCCUCCGGGCACCA